rnacentral:rRNA from 1 species
UAGGGAAUCUUCCACAAUGGGCGAAAGCCUGAUGGAGCAACGCCGCGUGUGUGAUGAAGGCUUUAGGGUCGUAAAGCACUGUUGUAUGGGAAGAAAUGCUAGAAUAGGGAAUGAUUCUAGUUCGACGGUACCAUACCAGAAAGGGACGGCUAAAUACGUGCCAGCAGCCGCGGUAAUACGUAUGUCCCGAGCGUUAUCCGGAUUUAUUGGGCGUAAAGCGAGCGCAGACGGUUGAUUAAGUCUGAUGUGAAAGCCCGGAGCUCAACUCCGGAAUGGCAUUGGAAAUUGGUUAACUUGAGUGUUGUAGAGGUAAGUGGAACUCCAUGUGUAGCGGUGGAAUGCGUAGAUAUAUGGAAGAACACCAGUGGCGAAGGCGGCUUACUGGACAACAACUGACGUUGAGGCUCGAAAGUGUGGGUAGCAAACAGGANUAGAUACCCUGGUAGUCCACACCGUNNNGAUGAAUACUAGGUGUUAGGAGGNUUCCGCCUCNUANUGNCGAANCUAACGCANUAANUAUUCCNNCUGGGGAGUACGACCGCAAGGUU